AAGCCCUUACCCCCCUCUUUGCU
rnacentral:miRNA from 1 species